CUACCAACCCGAUGAAACUAUUUACGGGGGUACUAAAGUCAUAGAAUGCCAAAAUCAAUUCCUAAAUUCUAUGAGUCUGAAGUUGAGGACAGUAAAAGAACAAAAGUGAAGAAGCUAUUUACUGUUCUGUAUAUCUACUCCGUGUGUUCAGUCAUUUGUUCAAGCUUCGUGACCACUUACAUUUCAUAGUGAAGGCAUCGUUUUGUUUCACACGUCAGUUGUGGAGUUUCCAAAGGGUGUCCAUGUGAUGGAAUAAAGAUGGCCUAUUUGUGGUAAGAAUCCCUGAUUGAAUCCUGGUGAUAUGGUAGAUCGGUCAGGGCUGAAUACAGUACUGCCUCCUAGUGGCAUUCCUUGGCACUGCAGCAAAUGUUUUGUACAUUUUGUCCUCGACAUGCUUUUUUUCUUCUUGAGGUUUUAAUCUGAGGAAAAAGUGAUGCCCCCUAGCAGCUUGUUUGUUGAUGCAGUCUGCACUUACUGUCACCACUUUGUUUUCAAAUACCAUGUGCACGCCUGGCCCUCUAAAGCUGAGUCUCUUUUUCUUAGUUUUUGAAACUCACGCCUGUGAAAAGCAAUCCUGAUGGACUAGUCAGAACCCCAUGCAUAUGCACAUACACAAACAUGGCAAUGAAUUAAUCAUUGUGCUGGUAACACAUUUCUGCUAACAUUCAUCUUCUGCAAAAUCACCUGUACCUGAACAAUUCCAAUCAAUUACAUCAUGUAUCUGUAAGCUAUACAUAUAGUUAACUGCCUUUUUGAGUACCACCAUAUGAUCUUUGAGGAUUUAAUUCUACAUACUUGAAUCUUAAAACAAUGUUUUGUCAAUUUUCUUAAUUUUCAACUGCAAGAUUAUCAACCAAUUAUCACAACUGUCACUGUUGAUUCACUUAUGUAGUUUUCACAAGCGGUGUCAACUAGUGAUUUUAGUUUGUUCCGGUACAGGUAAACCAGAUGUUGAGGUCCUGACCUGUACCUUAACAAUUUACAGAUAAGGUUGGUCGGGUAACACAGCAUCUUUUUUUUUUCCUAGGCCUUAUAAUGUUGAUUUUCAACAUGAAAGAAUGAGAACAUUAAUAUAUGUUUCCAGCGUGGCACAAGUGUACAUGUAGUUUAUUCUCAUCAGUGAAGAGGGUAAUGAAGUUUCUGCACUCUCCUAGAUGUCUUAUAUCUUUAUAAAUAUCAUAAUAAUAAAUGAUACUGGUAUACCAGUGAGGGAAAUGUAAUCUUCAUACAUAUGUACUACCAGUAGUAAUUUAUUGAGAUAACCACCCAAGUGGAGAUUGUUUACUGUCUGCCUAAUGUAAUUUUUAGAAUCACAAGAGUUGAGAAAAAAAGUAACAACAUUUUGCCCAGAAUAAAACUUCCUUGGUAAGAGAAGUUAUACAGGUGUAAAGAAAUGACCAUCCAUAUACUUACAGAUGUAACCAAAAUGAUCCAUUAAUUGUUGAAAGUGCCUGUGAAAAAGUGAUCAUGAUGGCCUAGUUAGAACCCCAUGCAUGUGUACACACAAACAUGGGAAUAAAUUAAUCAUUGUGCUGAGAACACAUUUCUGCUAAUAUUUAUCUUCUGAAAAAUCACCUAAAAGUUAUGAGGCAUGGGUCUGGUCAGGUCUGUAUAUAUGAUGAAUUACAAAGUAACAAGACCAGUUUAUGUUCACAGAAAAAUACAUAAUAUCAAAAUACACCGCGUAUUCUGUAUCACCUGAGGUUCCAGUCUGACCACAGGUACGAUCGCAGACGACUGAAGGAUGAACCGACCUGCGGGAGGGCUGGGCCCCAUUUUGUAUUUUAUCUAGGUCAGCGUUGGUCAUACCCACCCAAGAAAACACACGUUUCAAUGUAAAAUCCACCAGAACUUGAAAAAAAAAUUGUUGCCCUCACAAAAAAACAAUAGCGAUACCAAUGUCUGGAUUCAAACUUUUGACAACCACUGGCUGGGAGCAUGCAAAGCCUGUUUGAACUAUUCUAUGGAAGCCACUGUGAUAACAGAGGCCAUCAUCUAGCCUGGUAUAACAUAGAUAGUUUAACUAUAACUAAGAGUAAGAGUACAGGCACUGUAUGCAGUCUUGCCUCAGGUUCAGCUCACAUGGUUACUUUCUAAUCACUGCCACAGUAACACACACGUGUAAAAGGUCCCAGCAUUGAAAUGAAAUCCUUGAUGGGCAAAUAAACAAUAUCUACACCUUUGCCACUAGUACCCCUAGUACCAACAGUAUAUACACAGUACAACUUUGUAAUAAGAUAUUAAUCAUUAUCAUGUGUUUUGGAUUGUUUUCAUUCUUGCUAAAGCCAUUCAUAU